UUCCUUACCAGAUGAAGAUUGUUGCUAAGGUAACAGCCAACAUCAGCUCCCUCUGUAUCCGUGGUCCCCCCCUCCCAGCAGCAUACUUGGAAGCUUAUUUCUUUCUGACUGAGCUACUCGCAUGUUUGGAGAGAUGAAUGCCCAAUGCUCUUUUCACAGUCUGCAGAGGAAAAUCAGAUGAAUUCUGCACAUCUGUCUGGUCUGUCCGCUAAAGGUUAACUGCUGGAUGCAAUGCAGAAGAGAUACAACCAGAGAAGAGGUGCAUUUUUUAAGGCCAGAAGGAAAUAUGAUCACCACCAUCUAGCCUGACCUCCAGCAUAACACGGGACAUAGAAAUUCACCUGUGACGUCUGUGCUGUGCCCUGUAAUUUCUGCUUCAGCUAGAGACAUGAAGAAACAUCCAUGCUUUCCUUCAUUUUUUGCAGUAAGCAUCUGUCAUGUCACUA